CCUACGGGUGGCAGCAGUGAGGAAUAUUGGUCAAUGGACGCAAGUCGGAACCAGCCAGGCAGCGUGAAGGAAGACGGCCCUAUGAGUUGUAAACUGCUUUUGUACGAGGGUAAACUCAGACACGUGUACCUUUCUGUAUGUACCUUACGAUUAAGGAUCGGCUAACUCCGUGCCAGCAGCCGCGGUAAUACGGAGGAUCCAAGCGUUAUCCGGAUUUAUUGGGUUUAAAGGGAGCGUAGGCGGUAGGUUAAGUCAGAUGUGAAAGCCCGGGGCUCAACAGCGGAAUUGCAAUUGAUACUGUUAGGCUAGAGGGUAGUUGAGGUAGGCGGAAUGUGUGGUGUAGCGGUGAAAUGCUUAGAGAUCAUGCAGAACACCGAUUGCGAAGGCAGCUUACCAAACU
rnacentral:rRNA from 1 species